AGAUACGGCCAUACCAUGUAAGAAAAAUCCUCAUCUCGUUCGAUCUGAGAAGAUAAGUUGCAUCGGGCCUUCCUAGUACUCAAGUUGGAGACAAUUGGGGAAAAUAAGGUGCUGUAUCUU
rnacentral:rRNA from 1 species